AACGAACGCUGGCGGCAGGCUUAACACAUGCAAGUCGAACGGGCGUAGCAAUACGUCAGUGGCAGACGGGUGAGUAACACGUGGGAACCUUCCUAGGGGUACGGAACAACUCAGGGAAACUUGAGCUAAUACCGUAUACGUCCGUGAGGAGAAAGAUUUAUCGCCCUUAGACGGGCCCGCGUCGGAUUAGGUAGUUGGUGGGGUAACGGCCUACCAAGCCUUCGAUCCGUAGCUGAUCUGAGAGGAUGAUCAGCCACACUGGGACUGAGACACGGCCCAGACUCCUACGGGAGGCAGCAGUGGGGAAUCUUGGACAAUGGGCGCAAGCCUGAUCCAGCCAUGCCGCGUGAGUGAAGAAGGCCUUAGGGUUGUAAAGCUCUUUUACCAGGGACGAUAAUGACGGUACCUGGAGAAUAAGCCCCGGCAAACUUCGUGCCAGCCGCCGCGGUAACAC
rnacentral:rRNA from 1 species